GCCAGACUCCUACGGGAGGCAGCAGUGAGGAAUAUUGGUCAAUGGGAGGAAUCCUGAACCAGCCAUGCCGCGUGCAGGACGACGGCUCUACGAGUUGUAAACUGCUUUUGUACCGGGGUAAAAUGCCUUACGAGUAGGGUUUUGAAAGUACGGUACGAAUAAGGAUCGGCUAACUCCGUGCCAGCAGCCGCGGUAAUACGGAGGAUCCGAGCGUUAUCCGGAUUCAUUGGGUUUAAAGGGUGCGCAGGCGGAAUGUCAAGUCAGCGGUAAAAUUUCGGGGCUCAACCCCGUCGUGCCGUUGAAACUGGCGUUCUUGAGUGAGCGAGAAGUAUGCGGAAUGCGUGGUGUAGCGGUGAAAUGCAUAGAUAUCACGCAGAACUCCGAUUGCGAAGGCAGCAUACCGGCGCUCAACUGACGCUCAUGCACGAAAGCGUGGGUAUCGAACAGGAUUAGAUACCCGGGUAC
rnacentral:rRNA from 1 species